UUCACUCCUUCACACCGAAACCCUAGCCUCCCUCUUCCUUUGGCUUGAAGCUUCUACCAUAAGCUUUCCUGAAAUCCUGAUCUAUCAUACGCUUCUUCUUCUUCUACCUGCAUCUCAUUCUCUCUGAAUCGCUUGUGCUUGAAUGGCUUAACAAAGGAUUCCAAAAUCAAGGUUAUUCACUUCCAGAACCCUAAAUCUCAAUAGCAACAACUAACCAACAGUGGGAGUUAUUUUGUUCAGACAAAUUGUUCUAAGCUAAUGGAGGCACGAGAUCUGUAUAUCACGGAUGAAGGCAUCUUGUCUCUUAACAUCAAACACCGAUUCUACAUCAAAGGUUGAUUAGUAUCUGAUUCUUGCUAUCAUUCUUCUUGUGGUGUUUGUUACACAUCUGGAAACUGGGACAUUAUGCCUUAGCCACUGCCUCCAGCAAUGAAGGCUAGGGUUCUGACGAGUUGACCUAGAGCCAGUUCAGUUGACAGAUAGGUUAAAGAAUAACCGCUAUCGCUACCACCUCCAUCGUUACAGGAAUGAAUGAGGCUUAGCCUUUUAUGUGGUUUGUCACUGCCUCAGCCAAGGUGCGCCUCAAAUCGCCUUUUAAAACCAUGAAUGCAGGUACGUAUAUAUUUCGAAAACAACAUGAUUUAUUAUGUUACAUGUCUUUAUCGGUGGCUGUCAUCUUAUAUUCUGGUUAGAAACACUAGAACUGUGAAUUGAAUUAUGGAGAUUAAAAUCGAAUCCAAAUCAGUUAUUCAUCACAACACAAGAGUAGUAAAUUCGAUCCCAUUAAAAAACAAGCAUGGGGGUCUAGAGGAAUAUUGUUGAGGUGGAAAAGGAAGUAAGAAGAUAUGGUGUAAUAGUGGGUUGUAAUACGGUAUGUAGUGUGGGGAAAGGAAAUAAAACAAUGUUUUGGACAGACUUGUGGAUCAUUGGCGACCCGCUAAAAGAACGAUUUCCGUUAAUGUACCACCUUGCCAAAAAUAAAAGAGCAAAAGUGGUGGAGUAUUAUAAUAAGUGUUUAGGUGGAUUAAUGAGGGAUUGGGAUUGGGUCAGAUCACCAGCAAUUGUAGAGGAAAGAAAAGAAAUGGUACACUAAAUUCAUUAUUAUCUAUUCAAAGUAUAACAGAGGGUGAAGAUCUAUGGAAGUGGAAAGAUAGUAAGGAGAUAGGCUAUUCAGUACACGAGGUCAGACAAGUACUUUCAAGGCACUUGGAUACAACACAAUAGCAAACCGACACGAGUGUAGUUGAGUAAAAGAGGUAUUCAAACCAGAAAUAACAUCUGGUCGUGUUGUGGAUAUUUGCCUAAAACUACGGACCAUCUUUUGGUACAAUGUACGAUGGCAAAGUCCCUUUAGUGGAUGAUAGGGGUGUGGCUGAAAAUACAACAAUUGCACUCAUUUACAAUAGUAAAUCAGCUGCUUAAAAGUGUAGACGAGCUGAAGAUAUCGAAGAAGAAAAAGAAAGCGACUAGAUGUAUUGUGAUGGCCACGCCUUAGAAAAUAUGGACUUGCAGAAAUGAAAAAAGUAUUCAGAGGAGUUAACACUACAACUAAUAAGAUGUUAGAAGAGAUAAAGGAGAUUACAUUUAUGUGGAUUAAAAACAGAGCAAAGUAGGGGGGAGUCGCUUAUGAGAAUUGGUGCAAAAAUGGAUUGGUAGAAAUAGAGGGAUCAUACACUGUUGUAUGUUCCUUCUGUAAAUUGUAAGUGUAUAGCCUUUGGCGUGUGUGAUAUAUGCAGUUUCCCUUUAUGUUAAAAAGGUCGGAUCCAUAUUAUUGCAAAUGUAAAAUAAUCAAAGUCAACAAAGGUCCAAGUUUGCUUUCUUGCUGUUAAA